rnacentral:rRNA from 1 species
AGAUUGAACGCUAGCGGGAUGCUUUACACAUGCAAGUCGAACGGCAGCGCGGACUUCGGUCUGGCGGCGAGUGGCGAACGGGUGAGUAAUAUAUCGGAACGUGCCCAGUAGCGGGGGAUAACUACGCGAAAGCGUGGCUAAUACCGCAUACGCCCUACGGGGGAAAGGGGGGGAUCGCAAGACCUCUCACUAUUGGAGCGGCCGAUAUCAGAUUAGCUAGUUGGUGAGGUAAAGGCUCACCAAGGCGACGAUCUGUAGCUGGUUUGAGAGGACGACCAGCCACACUGGGACUGAGACACGGCCCAGACUCCUACGGGAGGCAGCGAGUGGGGAAUUUGGACAAUGGGGGAAACCCUGAUCCAGCCAUCCCGCGUGUGCGAUGAAGCCUUCGGGUUGUAAGCACGUUUUGGUACGAGGAAGGAAACGGCGUACGCCCGUAAGUACGGACGUCACGUGACGGUACCUGCAGAAUAAGCACCGGCUAACUACGUCGCCAGCGACGCCGACGUAA